GCCAUCAAGAAAAAUAUUUUAAAUGUUUAUUUUUAAAUCAACUGAAAAAUAUUUUAGUCUUUUUUAAUAUGGUUAAUAUUUAUCUUACUCUAUCAAGUUAAACUUUUUUUUUUAAAAUGAAAAUAUUUUAAAAUUCAUAUUAUUUUAUUUAAUAAUGUAUUUCAAUUAUAUGAAUGUAUGAAUCCGAAUAUAAAUCUUCAAGUUCUAAGGCAUACUAAAGGUAUAAACUAUAAAGUUCCCUAGUCUUCAAAUAUCUUGUCGUUUAUAUUGUUAAUUUUUUCUUUUUCUAAUAAACUUUAAAAAUAAUCACUUAUUUUCAUAUUUAAUGUGAAACUUUUGGCACUGUUAGAAUUUAGGAAUAUUCUUUUUAUUUUUAUAAAUUUUAUUCUUUUGACACUCACAAAAAAAAUGACCUGACCGAUCGUCAUGCUCUUAAAUCAAUCAACCUCUUCAAGGGGAUUUCAUAACUUUGGGGCACUAGAUCUAUCAUUAGUGUUAACGCCGCAAUGAAGAAAGUGAAACCAUUUAAAAAAAAAAAGUUUAUUAUAGCUUAAUGGCGUGUACAUUGGAUGUUUCUUCAUAAGUUUAUCACUUCAAAAAAAAAAUAUAUAUACAUAUAAUAUAAUAUUUUUUUUAUUAUGAGAAUUUCUCAUAAAAAAAUGAGAACGAUUUUCAAAUGGAAUGGUCCAAUGCACAUGGUCUAAGAGCAAGUGCAUUAGCGUAUGUUUCCACCGUCCUUCAGUAUUAAAAUUAAAAAGUUAAAUCGAAAUAAAGAGAUUAUAGAAGAAACGUUCCUCCAAACGGGACGUAAUUUGCUGUAUCCUCCAUUACACGUAGCAGCGUCGGACAGUUCUUUGACUCCGUCGGUUCCUUCUUCACCGGCAGCGAUAAGAUUCCUUGGUGCGACGGAGAUGUCAUCGCUGGAUGUGAAAGAGAGAUUAAAGAGGCCACAGAUUCUGGCGCUGAGGAUCUUAAGAAAGAAUGCUUAAUGUGAUUGUCGUGGUCUCUUGUUCAUUCCCGUCAACCCGAAAUGACCAACUAUGAGUGACACCAAUGCUCAUACCAAACUUAGAAAACUCUGAAAAUAAUAUUAAUAUAUUUAAGGGACCAAUGCCCAUGCUCUAAGGUCCCGCUUACAUGUUCCCAUUAAUCGUCCAACGCGCUAGGUCUCCACUCUUACCCUUAAUUGAAAGUGUUGUAGUUUAUUUUUCCAAACUCGAUAUAAAUUUAAAUGUUUACAACUGCAUCCAACAAUCUUCUGAAAUUUCUAGAGGA